CCAAUCGAACUCGGAGAUAGCUGGUUCUCCCCGAAAUAGCUUUAGGGCUAGCCUCAUAUUAGAUACCCGGAGGUAAAGCACUGAAUGGCCUAGCGCCCGAGAGGGUAGCGAAGCCUAUCAAACUAAGAAUGCCGGAGUAUUGAUGUAUGGGAGUCAGACAGUGUGAGAUAAAUCUCAUUGUCAAAAGGGAAACAGCCCAGAUCUACAGCUAAGGUCCCAAAUUGUAUCUAAGUGGAAAACGAUGUGGAAAUACGCAGACAACCAGGAUGUUGGCUCAGAAGCAGCCACUCAUUUAAAGAGUGCGUAAUAGCUCACUGGUCGAGCGUCUCUGCGCGGAAAAUUUAACGGGGCUAAGAUACAAACCGAAGCUUAGGCUGCAUCGUAAGAUGCGGGGUAGGGGAGCGUUGUGUAAGCGGAGAAACAGUAGCGUAAGCGGCUGUGGAGUUUACAGAAGUGAGAAUGCCGGAAUGAGUAGCGCGAAUGUGGUGAGAAUCCACAUGGCCGGAAACCUCAGGUUUUUGGAGGAAGGUUCGUCCGCUCCAAGUUAGGCGGGAGCUAAGGUCAGGCCGCAAGGCGUAGCCGAUGCACAGACGGUAGAGAUUCCGUCCCCACCGAAAGAUUUAAGCACAGGGACACUUUUAGAAGGUCGGAGCCAGGUGUUGGUUCUGGUAGUGAUCGAGGGAAAUAUAGUACCGAAGUCUGGCUGGAUGAGAGGCGAGAAAAGCUGUGUGUAUAUCUAAGGUGCCCGUACCGCAAACCGACACAGGUAGGUAGGAAGAAGAUUCUAAGGCCAACGGGAGAAGGGUUGUUAAGGAACUCGGCAAGUUGACCCCGUAACUUCGGAAUAAGGGGUGCUCACGAGAGUGAGCCGCAGAGAAUAGGCCCAGGCAACUGUUUACCAAAAACACAGGUUUGUGCUAAAUCGAAAGAUGACGUAUACGAGCUGACGCCUGCCCGGUGCUGGAAGGUUAAAAGGAGAUGUGCAAGCAUUGAAUUGAAGCCCCAGUGAACGGCGGCCGUAACUAUAACGGUCCUAAGGUAGCGAAAUUCCUUGUCAGGUAAGUUCUGACCCGCACGAAAGGCGUAAUGAUUUGGGCACUGUCUCAACAGCCCGCCCGGCGAAAUUGUAGUACCGGUGAAGAUGCCGGUUACCCGCGACAAGACGGAAAGACCCCAUGGAGCUUUACUGUAGCCUGAUAUUGGGUUUCGGUGUUGCAUGCACAGGAUAGAUGGGACACUGGGAAGCGGAUGCUUUGGCGUUCGUGGAGUGGACGUUGGGAUACCAUCCUUGCGACAUUGGAAUUCUAACCUGCGCCUCUGAAUCGAGGCGGGGGACAUUGUCAGGUGGGCAGUUUGACUGGGGCGGUCGCCUCCUAAAAAGUAGCGGAGGCGUUCAAAGGUUCGUUCGAUCUGGACGGAAACCAGAUGAAUGAGUGCAAACGCAUAAACGAGCCUGACUGCGAGACUGACGGGUCGAGCAGAGACGAAAGUCGGAGUUAGUGAUCCGGUGGUAUGUGAGUGGAAAUGCCAUCGCUCAACGGAUAAAA
rnacentral:rRNA from 1 species